rnacentral:lncRNA from 1 species
CAUCUGAAGCCUGGCUCUCUCUCUCUCUCUCUCGCUCUCUCUCUCUCUCUCUCUCUCGCUCUCUCUCUCUCUCUCUCUCUCGCUCUCUCUCUCUCUCUCUCUCUCGCUCUCUCUCUCUCUCUCUCUCUCGCUCUCUCUCUCUCUCUCUCUCUCGCUCUCUCUCUCUCUCUCUCUCUCGCUCUCUCUCUCUCUCUCUCUCUCGCUCUCUCUCUCUCUCUCUCUCUCGCUCUCUCUCUCUCUCUCUCUCUCGCUCUCUCUCUCUCUCUCUCUCUCGCUCUCUCUCUCUCUCUCUCUCUCGCUCUCUCUCUCUCUCUCUCUCUCGCUCUCUCUCUCUCUCUCUCUCUCGCUCUCUCUCUCUCUCUCUCUCUCGCUCUCUCUCUCUCUCUCUCUCUCGCUCUCUCUCUCUCUCUCUCUCUCGCUCUCUCUCUCUCUCUCUCUCUCGCUCUCUCUCUCUCUCUCUCUCUCGCUCUCUCUCUCUCUCUCUCUCUCGCUCUCUCUCUCUCUCUCUCUCUCGCUCUCUCUCUCUCUCUCUCUCUCGCUCUCUCUCUCUCUCUCUCUCUCGCUCUCUCUCUCUCUCUCUCUCUCGCUCUCUCUCUCUCUCUCUCUCUCGCUCUCUCUCUCUCUCUCUCUCUCGCUCUCUCUCUCUCUCUCUCUCUCGCUCUCUCUCUCUCUCUCUCUCUCGCUCUCUCUCUCUCUCUCUCUCUCGCUCUCUCUCUCUCUCUCUCUCUCGCUCUCUCUCUCUCUCUCUCUCUCGCUCUCUCUCUCUCUCUCUCUCUCGCUCUCUCUCUCUCUCUCUCUCUCGCUCUCUCUCUCUCUCUCUCUCUCGCUCUCUCUCUCUCUCUCUCUCUCGCUCUCUCUCUCUCUCUCUCUCUCGCUCUCUCUCUCUCUCUCUCUCUCGCUCUCUCUCUCUCUCUCUCUCUCGCUCUCUCUCUCUCUCUCUCUCUCGCUCUCUCUCUCUCUCUCUCUCUCGCUCUCUCUCUCUCUCUCUCUCUCGCUCUCUCUCUCUCUCUCUCUCUCGCUCUCUCUCUCUCUCUCUCUCUCGCUCUCUCUCUCUCUCUCUCUCUCGCUCUCUCUCUCUCUCUCUCUCUCGCUCUCUCUCUCUCUCUCUCUCUCGCUCUCUCUCUCUCUCUCUCUCUCGCUCUCUCUCUCUCUCUCUCUCUCGCUCUCUCUCUCUCUCUCUCUCUCGCUCUCUCUCUCUCUCUCUCUCUCGCUCUCUCUCUCUCUCUCUCUCUCGCUCUCUCUCUCUCUCUCUCUCUCGCUCUCUCUCUCUCUCUCUCUCUCUCUCUCUCUCUCUCACUCUCUCUCUCUCUCUCUCUCUCUUCCAUCUAACUGAACAGCUUGACGGAU